GCUGGAAAACUAAUGUAUGGAAAUCUAAAAUGUUUUUGUACUGACUUGAUAAUAUAGAAGUCAUAAAAUAAAAAUCUAUAACAAAGUU